rnacentral:misc_RNA from 1 species
AAAAAAAAAAAAAAAAAAAGAACACACUCUAUUUCAAGUUUCAAGCCAGCAAUAUAACUGCUAGUCCUUUGGACCAAGCUAGAGUGUGACUUGUGAGAUCUGUUCAACAGAAUGUCAUCAGAGGUUCCUUAGUGCCUCACCAAAGAGUCAAUGCUUAUCAGAAUCUCCCCAGAUUUUCUCCUGAAGAUUCCCCUUAGAACUUCCCAUUUUCAAGUGUUCAACACAUUUUACCAGAAUCUGACCCAAAAAGGCAAUAACAAUUAUAGCUUCAUAGCCUCCUCAGAGUUUCAGUUUCUUAAGUUUCUCGCCGGAGACUUGCCAGAGAUUUCCUUCUUAACUUCCAUUCACUAGUAUUUUAUCAAAUUUAUAUCAGACAUAAACAUGGUCCUGACCAAAGUUCUGUUUUUAGCAGGAUUUGACUAGAUUUAUAAACUUUUUUUCUGCAGUCAUCAGUUGCCAUCUGAAAUAUACUUUUCAAAGGCACGUAUGGCUUUCUGUUAGGACUAUUAAUUUUCAUUCAGGCUCUGCAUUUUAUCUUUUCUCUUAAUUUAGCGUGCGCACCAUCAAAUUAUCCACUCAUCAUAAAUGUAACAGGAAUUAAAAGAGAAGCUUUUUAGUAACUAGGUUGAGGAUCAACUUCUUUUUAUUUUUUUACAAGUUUUUUUCUCCAAAAUCAGAGAGCAUAUUUAUUUAUCUAUCUUCUGUCCAUUUGCAAAAAUGGAUAUUAGUGUUCAGAAGGAAUUAGAAAAGCACACGGCUGCUAAAAUUAAAAGUAAAAUGUUUCAUCUUCUAUUCGAAGGUGAAACAAAAGAUCUACAGUUGAAGACCAAAUACAGUAGGAGGAGGUUGUCAUUAAUUUAAACAAGGACAAAAGACUUGUUUGUGCAGCCAUAAGAGUAGUUUUGGGCUGCAACCAGAUGUAAAGACUGUGGUGGAGAGGUUUCUGUAUUGCAAUGGGAAAGAAUAAAGUUCUUAAGAUGCAUCCUGUCAUUUUUUGGCUAGCUUGAAUGGAAACAAAUAAGAUUUUCAGGGAAAGGAAAAACUCCUCUGUGUUUUUACUUCUCAUAGAUUCGUGAAUUAGGACUUAGACAUUUAGUAUUGUGGUAAACAUUUUCUUUAAGCUAUUACAGAUUUUGUAGAUUCCUGCUGCAAAUCAAUUUCUAUUUCUUUGUAAUUGGGUGCCAAGCCAGCCCCCUAAAGCCUCGUAGUAGUUUUAUUUUACAAUAGAAUUCUAAGAAGGAAAAAUGUCUCUCUUUAGCCAAUAUGCACAUCCAUCCUUGUUACAGCAGUGAUCUAUCUCAGCCUAAAUUUAAUUACAAGGCCUUAAGUUUAAUUCUCUCCACAGAGACUCAUUAAGCCUCUCAAUCUCACCUUUAGUUGGUUAAUGUAAGUUAAAUAAAUUAUGUUAUUAUGAAAUACGUCACAUAACUCAUUAGCUGUCAAUCUAUUGAUUGUUAAAAUAAAUGACAUAAUGAAAAAGAUAAAUUGAUUGAUGAAUCAGAUUGUGAAGAGAAUUGCAAUUAAAUAUUGAAUCAAAUCAAUCAUUCACUGAAAGUAUAAGAAAGCAAAAAGAAUAUAAAAACCAUGAAUUGAAGGUCUCACAUUGGACAAGGCCAGUCAUUA